UAUCAUUUAAAUAUUAAAUUACGUAUCAAAAAAAAAAUUCAAUAAAAAUGAAAUUAAUUUAUUAUUUCGUUGCGUUGUUUAUAAUUUUCUUUGGCGGAAUUGUGCACUUCCAAACCACUGUGGCCAGUGGAAAGGUGAUUUUUUAUACAAACAAAAAUAAAACGGAGGAGAGCAGCAUAUUUGCGAUACACCGGCGUAAAUGUCGAUACGUUAUGGAUCAUCUGGGUCGGUGCCGUCAAUUCGCAUAAGUUCAGCAAGCAGUUUUAAGCGCCAACUGCCGUUUGAGUCAGCCCCUAUACAAAGCUUAAUGAAAUGAUAUUUAUCCCUCUAAUUUGCUGGCAUACAUACAUACGUAUUUGUAUUACAUUUCUGGUUUGUAUCACUGCUGAAAUAUCAAGUCAAUAAAAAAAAUACACACAUGCAGUAAGGAAAUUUGUGCUUUGUGAAAAUUGUGUAAUUCUAAAAUAGCGUCAGUAAAAGAAAACAAACCGUAAUUAAUGAAAUUGUAAUUAGCAUAUGUGUCUUCUGUGGUUCAAAAAAAUAAAAUAAAAUUAAGUAAAUACUAUAUUUGAGCGUCUCCAAGCGCAGACAAAAA